GACGAACGCUGGCGGCGUACCUAAUACAUGCAAGUUGAGCGCUGAAGGUUGGUACUUGUUCCUACUGGAUGAGCAACGAACGGGUGAGUAGCGCGUGGGGAAUCUGCCUUUGAGCGGGGGACAACAUCUGGAAACGAAUGCUAAUACCGCAUAAAAUCUUUAAACACAAGUUUUAAGUUUGAAAGAUGCAAUUGCUUCACUCAAAGAUGAUCCCGCGUUGUAUUAGCUAGUUGGUGAGGUAAAGGCUCACCAAGGCGAUGAUACAUAGCCGACCUGAGAGGGUGAUCGGCCCCAUUGGGACUGAGACACGGCCCAAACUCCUACGGGAGGCAGCAGGAGGGAAUCUUCGGCAAUGGACGAAAGUCUGAACGAGCAACGCCGCGUGAGGGAAGAAGGUUUUCGGAUCGCAAAACUCUGUUGGUAGAGAAGAAAGUUGGUGAGAGUGGAAAGCUCAUCAAGUGACGGUAACUACCCAGAAAGGGACGGCUAACUACGUG
rnacentral:rRNA from 1 species